rnacentral:rRNA from 1 species
UUCCUACGGGAGGCAGCAGUGAGGAAUAUUGGUCAAUGGGCGGGAGCCUGAACCAGCCAAGCCGCGUGAGGGAAGAAGGUACAGCGUAUCGUAAACCUCUUUUGUCAGGGAACAAAGGCGGGGACUAGUCCCCGGAUGAGGGUACCUGAAGAAAAAGCAUCGGCUAACUCCGUGCCAGCAGCCGCGGUAAUACGGAGGAUGCGAGCGUUAUCCGGAUUUAUUGGGUUUAAAGGGUGCGCAGUCGGCCUGUUAAGUCAGCGGUCAAAUCGCGGGGCUCAACCCCGCCCAGCCGUCGGAACUGCCGG